rnacentral:rRNA from 1 species
CCUACGGGUGGCAGCAGUGGGGAAUAUUGCACAAUGGGGGAAACCCUGAUGCAGCGACGCCGCGUGAGUGAAGAAGUAUUUCGGUAUGUAAAGCUCUGUCAGCAGUGAAGAAGAAAAAGGGUACUUGACAAAAAAGCCCGGCUAAACACGUGCCAGCAGCCGCGGUAAUACGGAGGGGGCAAGCGUUACCCGGAUUUACUGGGUGUAAAAGGAGCGGAGACGGAGCGGCAAGUCUGAAGUGAAAGGCAGGGGCUUAACCCCGGAACUGCUUUGGAAACUGCGAUGCUAGAGUGCUGGAGGGGUAAGUGGAAUUCCUAGUGUAGCGGUGAAAUGCGUAGAUAUUAGGAGGAACACCAGUGGCGAAGGCGACUUACUGGACAGUAACUGACGUUGAGGCUCGAAAGCGUGGGGAGCAAACAGGAUUAGAUACCCCUGUAGUC